GACGAACGCUGGCGGCGUGCCUAAUACAUGCAAGUAGAACGCACAGUUUAUACCGUAGCUUGCUACACCAUAAACUGUGAGUUGCGAACGGGUUAGUAACGCGUAGGUAACCUGCCUGGUAGCGGGGGAUAACUAUUGGAAACGAUAGCUAAUACCGCAUAAUAUUGAUUAUUGCAUGAUAAUUGAUUGAAAGAUGCUAUUGCAUCACUACCAGAUGGACCUGCGUUGUAUUAGCUAGUAGGUGAGGUAACGGCUCACCUAGGCGACGAUACAUAGCCGACCUGAGAGGGUGAGAGGCCAAACUGGGACUGGGACACGGCCCAGACUCCUACGGGAGGCAGCAGUAGGGAAUCUUCGGCAAUGGACGAAAGUCUGACCGAGAAACGCCGCGUGAGUGAAGAAGGUUUUCGGAUCGUAAAGCUCUGUUGUAAGAGAAGAACGGGUGUGAGAGUGGAAAGUGCACACUGUGACGGUAUCUUACCAGAAAGGGACGGCUAACUACGUG
rnacentral:rRNA from 1 species